CAGUCGCCACGGUAAUACAGAGGGUGCGAGCGUUAAUCGGAUUUACUGGGCGUAAAGCGUGCGUAGGCGGCUUCUUAAGUCGGAUGUGAAAUCCCUGAGCUUAACUUAGGAAUUGCAUUCGAUACUGGGAAGCUAGAGUAUGGGAGAGGAUGGUAGAAUUCCAGGUGUAGCGGUGAAAUGCGUAGAGAUCUGGAGGAAUACCGAUGGCGAAGGCAGCCAUCUGGCCUAAUACUGACGCUGAGGUACGAAAGCAUGGGGAGCAAACAGGAUUAGAUAACCGGGUAGUCCCUGUCUCUUAUAC
rnacentral:rRNA from 1 species